GAUGAACGCUAGCUACAGGCUUAACACAUGCAAGUCGAGGGGCAGCAUGAACUUAGCUUGCUAAGUUUGAUGGCGACCGGCGCACGGGUGAGUAACACGUAUCCAACCUGCCGAUGACUCGGGGAUAGCCUUUCGAAAGAAAGAUUAAUACCCGAUGGCAUAGUUCUUCCGCAUGGUAGAACUAUUAAAGAAUUUCGGUCAUCGAUGGGGAUGCGUUCCAUUAGCUUGUUGGCGGGGUAACGGCCCACCAAGGCAUCGAUGGAUAGGGGUUCUGAGAGGAAGGUCCCCCACAUUGGAACUGAGACACGGUCCAAACUCCUACGGGAGGCAGCAGUGAGGAAUAUUGGUCAAUGGGCGCUAGCCUGAACCAGCCAAGUAGCGUGAAGGAUGACUGCCCUAUGGGUUGUAAACUUCUUUUAUAUGGGAAUAAGUGCAGUAUGUAUACUGCUUUGCAUGU
rnacentral:rRNA from 1 species